AAUAGAUAGAUAGAUAGAUAAUUUUAUUAACCAAUCAUGGUGCCCAAAAUUUGAGCUAUACAAUCAAAUGAAUUACAAAAUAAAGCACAGAAAAUGAUUAGAAUGAUUAAAGUACAUUUGAACAAAAAACCACAUGAAUACACAUUUACACUAAUUAACCUGAUAUAAACCAAGUUAUUGACAAAACAUAGUUGUUAUGGGUGCCACUGUGACCUGGAGAAAUUACAUAAAUCUUUAUAGUUCUAGGUCUAUGGGAGACAACUCCUGAUCAAUUUUAUUUCCUAUAUAUAUAUAUAUAUAUCUAUAUAUAUUUUUCUUCUAUUUUUUUUUUUCAAACAACAAUAUUUUCUAUAAUUUUCUUUCGUUCUUCAAAAAGGGAGUGCAAUAAAUUAGAUAAGUUUGAAGUAACAAACAAAUCUUCAGAUGAAAGAAUCCAAACAAAUUUCAUUUCAUCAGAUAAUCUUGAAAAAUUUUUGAAUUUUGAAUUUAAAUUAGAUAGAUGUUGAGAUCGAGUAUCUUUUAGAACAGGACAUUUUAAAAGAAAAUGUAGUUCGUCUUCAACUGCGUUCUUACAUAGCUUACACUUUCUGUCUUCAGCUUUAAUUCCAAUAUACCUCCCUCUUUCGAUUUCAAGAUCAUGACAGCUAGUUCUAAAUCUUGUGAUUAUUUGCCUGUCUUUUUUUGAAUUCAUUUUUAAAUAUGGUUCAAACAUAAAAAUAUUUUUAAAUUUUCUGUAAGUUCUUAAUUUAUUGCCAGAUUGUAAAUUAGUACACUUCCCAGAAUUGCUUUCUAAACUAGCUAACCAGCUUUCUUUAAAUUUAAUAGUUAAAGAUGUUUUUACUUUUUUUAGAAUAUGGUUUUGUUUAAAGUUUGACUGGUUAACAAAUAGAUAUUCUAAGUCUAGAAAUUUAAAUAUAUGUUUAAUGCUUCCUAUCCAAGAUUCCUG
rnacentral:lncRNA from 1 species